GACGAACGCUGGCGGCGUGCCUAAUACAUGCAAGUAGAACGCUGAAGGAGGAGCUUGCUCUUCUGGAUGAGUUGCGAACGGGUGAGUAACGCGUAGGUAACCUGCCUGGUAGCGGGGGAUAACUAUUGGAAACGAUAGCUAAUACCGCAUAACAGUAGAUGUUGCAUGACAUUUGCUUAAAAGGUGCAAUUGCACCACUACCAGAUGGACCUGCGUUGUAUUAGCUAGUUGGUGGGGUAACGGCUCACCAAGGCGACGAUACAUAGCCGACCUGAGAGGGUGAUCGGCCACACUGGGACUGAGACACGGCCCAGACUCCUACGGGAGGCAGCAGUAGGGAAUCUUCGGCAAUGGACGGAAGUCUGACCGAGCAACGCCGCGUGAGUGAAGAAGGUUUUCGGAUCGUAAAGCUCUGUUGUAAGAGAAGAACGAGUGUGAGAGUGGAAAGUUCACACUGUGACGGUAUCUUACCAGAAAGGGACGGCUAACUACGU
rnacentral:rRNA from 1 species